GACGAACGCUGGCGGCGUGCUUAACACAUGCAAGUCGAACGGAAAGGCCCUGCGUUUGUUGCGCUCUCGAUUGGCGAACGCGUGAGUAACACGUGAGUAACCUGCCCUUGACUGUGUGAGAACUUCAGGGAACUGGGGCUAUUAUCGGAUAUGAUCUCCUGCUCCAUGUUGGUGGUUGGAAAGAUUCGGCGGUGGGGGAUGGACUCGCUGCUUAUCAGCUUGUUUGUGUGGUAGGGGCUUACCAAGGCUUUGACGGGUAGCCGGCCUGAGAGGGUGAACGGCCACAUUGGGACUGAGAUAGGGCGCAGACGCGUACGGGAGGCAGCAGGGGGGAAUAUUGCACAAUGGGCGGAAGCCUGAUGCAGAAAUGCCGCGUGCGGGAUGACGGGUUUCGGGUUGUAAACAUAUUUCGACUGUGACGAAGAGUGAGUGACGGUAAUGGGUCAAGAAGCAACGGCUAACUACGUG
rnacentral:rRNA from 1 species